rnacentral:tRNA from 1 species
GGCGACGUAGCCAAGUGGUCAAGGCUGGGGGCGUGCACGACCCUAAUCGGUGGUUCGAAUCCGCCCGUCGCCGCCA